UGGAGAGCUAGGGCUUGGAACGGAAAUUGGCACCCAUCACUUUUGGCUGUUGUUAUCACAUUUCUCAGAUGAGAACGCUGGGGCUAGGAGAGAGAAAUCACUUCUCCGAAGCCACACCAGAAGGCAGGGGAAGAGUCCCUGGAACAAGGCAGAAGAGAACUAAUGGGAGGGAUCAGGCUCCUCUUUACCUCAGGUUUUCCUUAUAUCUGGAGCAGAGAAUCCAGUCCUUCCAGGCCUCAAAACAUCUUACAAGUUCCCUGGACAGCACGAGCACCCCGGAACCUUUCCCUGCAGGCCCGUCAACAUUAAGCACUUACUGUAUACCAAGAACAAAUCCAAAUUUUUCAUGUAUUUGACUAAUUUCAUCUUCACAAAGACCCUUUACGGUAAAUACUACUACUGAAUACGGUAAAUUCUUCCAGUUAAGGAAGCAGAAGCAGAGGACUAUGAACUCCCCGUGGGCAGACCGGCAAAUGGGGGGGGUGUGUGAGCCUGCCGUGCCCGCCUCUACCCAGGGCCUCUCAGUCUGAUGGUACGCGACAGAAGCCUUGUCUUUAAAAAAAUUAUUUUUAUUUUUAUUUUUUUGGAGUCCUGGGAUCGAGCCCCACAUGGGGCUCUCCGCUUGGCAGGGAGCCUGCUUCCUCCUCUCUCUCUGCCUGCCUCUGUGCCUACUUGUGGA
rnacentral:lncRNA from 1 species